UACGUAGGGUGCAAGCGUUAAUCGGAACUACUGGGCGUAAAGCGUGCGCAGGCGGUUUUGUAAGUCUGUCGUGAAAGCCCUGGGCUCAACCUGGGAAUUGCGAUGGAGACUGCAAGGCUUGAAUCUGGCAGAGGGGGGUAGAAUUCCACGUGUAGCAGUGAAAUGCGUAGAGAUGUGGAGGAACACCGAUGGCGAAGGCAGCCCCCUGGGUCAAGAUUGACGCUCAUGCACGAAAGCGUGGGGAGCAAACAGG
rnacentral:rRNA from 1 species